rnacentral:rRNA from 1 species
AACGAACGCUGGCGGCAGGCCUAACACAUGCAAGUCGAGCGGACCCUUCGGGGUUAGCGGCGGACGGGUGAGUAACGCGUGGGAAUAUGCCCUUCUCUACGGAAUAGUCCUGGGAAACUGGGGGUAAUACCGUAUACGCCCUUUGGGGGAAAGAUUUAUCGGGGAAGGAUUAGCCCGCGUUGGAUUAGGUAGUUGGUGGGGUAAUGGCCUACCAAGCCGACGAUCCAUAGCUGGUUUGAGAGGAUGAUCAGCCACACUGGGACUGAGACACGGUCCAGACUCCUACGGGAGGCAGCAGUGGGGAAUCUUAGACAAUGGGGGCAACCCUGAUCUAGCCAUGCCGCGUGAGUGAUGAAGGCCUUAGGGUUGUAAAGCUCUUUCAGCUGGGAAGAUAAUGACGGUACCAGCAGAAGAAGCCCCGGCUAACUCCGUG